GCCCCACUUUACCUAACUCAUUGGCUGGCCCUUCACCUAACUACCUGUGACCUCAUCACCAUGCUCCUCGCCCUAUAAAAGCCAGGAAGUAGGACCCUGAUUCGGCAGAGGAGAGGGCUGGGAGGCGUGGUGUUUAUCUACUCUCGUCCAGUCGUGUCAUUUUUGGGUUUCGAAGGGCCUUCUCCAUCUGGACAGCGCUUUUCUGUCCCUCCUCCGCGUCCCAGCAGCUUCCCCCCCUUGGUCUGUCCCUGAGUCUGGCUCCAUCAGUGCCUCCUCGGGAUGAGGGAUGAAGGGUUGGGCGCCGGCUGAGUUAAGGGAGAAAUGCAAACAUAUGUUUCUCCGAUUUCAAUCUUCGUGGGAACUACAAGGGGAAUUUGAUAAAAUGUGGAUUCUGCUGCAAGAUGGCCAAGGGUGGGGCCUGCGAUUCCUGGAAGAACGCUGGGUGAAAAGGGUCUGUUCUCCAGAACUGGUGCCGUGUGUGACCCUCACAAAGCACCAAGAGCGAACAUGGGAGAAGUUUUGUAAACAUUUUUUCCUCUCUACACGAGACACAAGCCCAGAAAUUAAAACGGAAAAUCUGAAAAUGUGAUGAAAUACAAAUUUAAAUUUCUCCAGGGCAACAGGACUAUAAACAGGGGACAAUAGAAAAAAUUUGCAUAUGUGAAGGGAUUAUCUCCUUUAUUUAAUGCUGAAAGCUCUCUUAACAUAAGACCAAGACCUCAAGGGGAAAAUGGUCCCACGACCCGGAAUCCUUCCUGGCCAGUGGAAGGAGGGCUUAUGUAUGAGCCUUA